CGAACGCUGGCGGCGUGCCUAAUACAUGCACGUCGAGCGGACGGAUGGGAGCUUGCUCCCAGACCGUCAGCGGCGGACGGGUGAGUAACACGUGGGCAACCUGCCUGUAAGACUGGGAUAACUCCGGGAAACCGGGGCUAAUACCGGAUAACUCUUUCCCUCACAUGAGGGAAAGCUGAAAGAUGGCAUCUCGCUAUCACUUACAGAUGGGCCCGCGGCGCAUUAGCUAGUUGGUGAGGUAACGGCUCACCAAGGCGACGAUGCGUAGCCGACCUGAGAGGGUGAUCGGCCACACUGGGACUGAGACACGGCCCAGACUCCUACGGGAGGCAGCAGUAGGGAAUCUUCCGCAAUGGACGAAAGUCUGACGGAGCAACGCCGCGUGAGUGAUGAAGGUUUUCGGAUCGUAAAACUCUGUUGUCAGGGAAGAACAAGUACCGGAGUAACUGCCGGUACCUUGACGGUACCUGACCAGAAAGCCACGGCUAACUACGUG
rnacentral:rRNA from 1 species